AUAUAAUUAUUUUACAACAGCAAAGAUUUUAUUUGCUAUUUUAAAUGUUUUCCCUGUUUUUUACUUUAAGAGAAGAAGAAUAUAAAUGUUCUAGAAGAAUAUAUGCUGAGGAUAGCUUUCAGCUGCUGCGCUCUUAACUUAAGCCAAGUGCCUUGGAAGUGCAGUGAUUGCUCAGGAGCAACAAGGGACCUGCAGCACCUCCUCUGGGUACAGCAGAGGCAACUUCACCUGGUGUACUGGGAAUAGUUGGGUGGCUUUGACUUUCCCCCUCCAGAAUAUGUAGGUAAGCACCCCUCUCACCUGUCUUAACUCUGCAUAGAUAUAAAGUAUAUGAAUAUAAAAUACCUAGGAUGGAUAACAAAGAAAACAUGUAUUCUUAAUCCUUGUCUCACAUGUAUGAAUACUCAGAGUGAAUCAUGCAUCAUUAGUCCGAGAUAUACCAAGCAAGAAAAAUCUUAAUGCCAAAUAUCUAAGGUUUAUUUAAUAGAUUUUUUCCCUUGUAAAUUCAUUGUUUAAGGGACUCCUUUGCAUUUAAUUUCAAUCCUGCCAGAUUGGUAAAUUAAUUUUUCUGCUCUUUAGCAAGGGAGACAGAACAUCCAUAAAAACAACAUUUUACCAACACAUAGUAUAAAUGGUCUGCUAUUCUAAGGACAAAGAGCAAUAAAACAAAAAUGGGAUAUCA
rnacentral:lncRNA from 1 species